GUGCUCACUUUGACAGCACAUAUACUAAAAAUUGGAGCGACACAGAGAAGAUUAGCAUGGCCCCUGCACAAAGAUAACGCUCAAGUUUGUGAAGCAUAGGACUGCCUU